rnacentral:rRNA from 1 species
UACGUAGGGGGCAAGCGUUGUCCGGAUUUAUUGGGCGUAAAGAGCGUGUAGGCGGUUAGGUAGGUCCGUUGUGAAAACUCGAGGCUCAACCUCGAGACGCCGAUGGAAACCAUCUGACUAGAGUCCGGAAGAGGAGAGUGGAAUUCCUGGUGUAGCGGUGAAAUGCGCAGAUAUCAGGAGGAACACCGGUGGCGAAGGCGGGUCUCUGGGCCGAUACUGACGCUGAGGAGCGAAAGCGUGGGGAGCGAACAGG